UUUCCAGACUCCUACGGGAGGCAGCAGUGAGGAAUAUUGGUCAAUGGACGAGAGUCUGAACCAGCCAAGUAGCGUGAAGGAUGACUGCCCUAUGGGUUGUAAACUUCUUUUAUAUGGGAAUAAAAUGUUCCACGUGUGGGAUUUUGUAUGUACCAUAUGAAUAAGGAUCGGCUAACUCCGUGCCAGCAGCCGCGGUAAUACGGAGGAUCCGAGCGUUAUCCGGAUUUAUUGGGUUUAAAGGGUGCGUAGGCGGAAUGCCAAGUCAGCGGUAAAAUCGUGGGGCUCAACCUCGCUCCGCCGUUGAAACUGGCGUUCUUGAGUGGGCGAGAAGUAUGCGGAAUGCGUGGUGUAGCGGUGAAAUGCAUAGAUAUCACGCAGAACUCCGAUUGCGAAGGCAGCAUACCGGCGCCCUACUGACGCUGAGGCACGAAAGCGUGGGUAUCGAACAGGAUUAGAUACCCGGGUAAG
rnacentral:rRNA from 1 species